rnacentral:lncRNA from 1 species
GGCUGGUUGGUAGAUUUAAAGGAGUUAAUAAUUGUUAGCAAUUGCCGACAACGCCACCUAGUGUAAGCACUAGGACUUAAUUUAUAUAAGGCAGGUUCGUUUUUACAGGGAAUGAGCAGUGGAACCAGAGAUCAAUAACGUGAUUAAUUUAUUAUAACAAAACAUUAAAAUACAUGGCCUAAUUCUAAAAAGAGUCUAAAGAGAUAACAGAUUAAAAAUAGAGGCUGAGCCUGGACGGGAGGCGCAGCCGCCACUGCGCUGCUCUGGGUGUCGAGUCUCCGGCCCUCGGCCCCGCUUCCCCGUUGGGCUGGCCCUGGUGUCCAGUCCUGGCGCUGCUCGCUCACUCGGUUACCGCGUCAGCUCCUCGCCGCCAACCCUGGUUCCGCCGUUCCCUCCUCACGCUUCGCUGUCGCUCGGUCCGACCCUAGCGGACACAACACAGCUGCCAGUGGGAGAGAAGUGAUCCUGGCUCCGCGUGCCUCCCCCCCCAGGUGUGCGACUCACCGCGUCUGGGCGGCGCUCGAAUGCAACCGCCCAGUAUAGAGUAAACAGGCCUUGAAUGUCACACUCCACCGCGUCUCCGCGUUCCACGUCCUGGCGCUGCUCACUCGCUCUGCCUCCGUCGCCGCGCCCGUUCCUCGUCCUGGCGCUGCUCACUCGCUCUGCCUCCGUCGCCGCGCCCGUUCCUCGUCCUGGCGCUGCUCACUCGCUCUCCCUCCGUCACCGCAUCCGUUCCUCGCCUCCGACCCAGGUUCCGCCGUUCCCUCCUCACGCUUCGCUGGCGCUCGGUCCGGUCCUAGUAGACCUGUCGAUGGCUGUUGCUGCCACCACUCACACACACACACAUUGUCUCGCUGCCGAUGUCCUUUUAAUCCCUCAUAUGAGGGCCAGUUACGGCCCUGCACAGCUGCGCUGAUUACCAGCAGCUGUCCAAAAGGUAGUGGGUUGGCCUAUGCUGAUUAACAAAAAAAAGUUUAACAAAAACACAGCAAACACACAACACAACUGCAAAUAAGGAGCUAAAACAAAUCAAAAUACAUU